CUACAGGAGUCAAUCAGAGAGGAAAAACCAGAAACAAGUAAAACAUGAUAUUAUAUUAUCUAUGUAGUAUAAAAUUCCUAAACAUAUCAUGUGUUUGAUGCCAAGUCUAGUGCCAUAUUCCAAAGGUUCUCAAUUUGUGGAUGUCAAUUUUGCAUGUUAUCUUCAAGGCUUCUUUCAAGAUGACAGUCUGGAGAAAGAAAGUAAAUUAUAUGCAGAGAGAUGCAAAAAGGACUGCACUCAUGGAGUACUCAACAAUGAGUUAGCCUGGCUGCACAAGGGCACUGGUUCCUGAACUCUGGCACUGCCAUCUGCUUGCCUCCUGCCCAGCCUUAGGUUUGAUAUGGGCUGCCCUCCUGCCGGUGUCUUCCCUGCACCUGAUUUUUUGUACCAGUUGCCUGCCACAUGCUACAAAUUUUGCGAGGUGGUAAGAUGGAAGAUUGCCGGACAGAUACCAAAAUGAUUGACAGCCCUGAAGUUCUGACCCCAGAAUCCUGUUUGUCCAACACAAAGAGAUCAAGGCCACUUAGCAGAACCAUAGAAAACACAUGUGAUUGGCAUGCCAACACUAACAAGUGCAAACUUCCUCCCAAGGCCCUCGCUGGAGAAUGUUUGCACAGCAACAUUAAAGUUUCAU